rnacentral:rRNA from 1 species
UGGGGAAUCUUCCGCAAUGGACGAAAGUCUGACGGAGCAACGCCGCAGAGUGAUGACGGCCUUCGGGUUGUAAAGCUCUGUUAAUCGGGACGAAAGGCCUUCUUGCGAAUAGUGAGAAGGAUUGACGGUACCGGAAUAGAAAGCCACGGCUAACUACGUGCCAGCAGCCGCGGUAAUACGUAGGUGGCAAGCGUUGUCCGGAAUUAUUGGGCGUAAAGCGCGCGCAGGCGGAUAGGUCAGUCUGUCUUAAAAGUUCGGGGCUUAACCCCGUGAUGGGAUGGAAACUGCCAAUCUAGAGUAUCGGAGAGGAAAGUGGAAUUCCUAGUGUAGCGGUGAAAUGCGUAGAUAUUAGGAAGAACACCAGUGGCGAAGGCGACUUUCUGGACGAAAACUGACGCUGAGGCGCGAAAGCCAGGGGAGCGAACGGGAUUAGAUACCCCGGUAGUCCUGGCCGUAAACGAUGGGUACUAGGUGUAGGAGGUAUCGACCCCUUCUGUGCUCGGAGUUAACGCAAUAAGUACCCCGCCUGGGGAGUACGACCCUCAAGGUUG